GAUGAACGCUGGCGGCGUGCCUAAUACAUGCAAGUCGAGCGAACAGACGAGGAGCUUGCUCCUCUGACGUUAGCGGCGGACGGGUGAGUAACACGUGGAUAACCUACCUAUAAGACUGGGAUAACUUCGGGAAACCGGAGCUAAUACCGGAUAAUAUAUUGAACCGCAUGGUUCAAUAGUGAAAGACGGUUUUGCUGUCACUUAUAGAUGGAUCCGCGCCGCAUUAGCUAGUUGGUAAGGUAACGGCUUACCAAGGCAACGAUGCGUAGCCGACCUGAGAGGGAGAUCGGCAACACUGGAACAGAGACAGGGUCCAGACACCUACGGGAGGAAGCAGUAGGGAAUCUUCCGCAAGGGGCGAAAGCCUGACGGAGCAAAGCCGCGUGAGUGAUGAAGGUCUUAGGAUCGUAAAACUCUGUUAUUAGGGAAGAAAAAAAGUGUAAGUAACUAUGAACGUAUUGACGGUACCUAAUCAGAAAGCCACGGCUAACUACGUG
rnacentral:rRNA from 1 species